rnacentral:rRNA from 1 species
AAAAGAAACUAACAAGGAUUCCCCUAGUAACGGCGAGUGAAGAGGGAAGAGCUCAAAUUUUAAAUCUACCUUGUUUCAAGGUCGAGUUGUAAUUUGAAGAUGCGUUUUCUCGGGCCCGCACCGGUAGAAGUUCUCUUGGAACAGGGCAUCAUAGAGGGUGAUAAUCCCGUCUGUGACCGGUCGCGAGUUCGUAUACGAUACGCACUCUAAGAGUCGAGUUGUUUGGGAUUGCAGCUCAAAACGGGUGGUAAACAUCACCUAAGGCUAAAUAUUGGCGAGAGACCGAUAGCGAACAAGUACCGUGAGGGAAAGAUGAAAAGAACUUUGAAAAGAGAGUUAAACAGUACGUGAAAUUGUUGAAAGGGAAACGCUUGAAGUCAGUCGUGCUGGCAUGAAAUCAACCGUUGCGCUAGUAAGUUGUCUGCGGGUGAGCUAAAAACCAUCGCGUUGACAUCUUUGCGCGCGCAGCGGUGCACUUUUGUGUCAGCUGGUUAGCAUCAAUUUCGACCGUCAUAAAAAGGCUGGGGGGAUGUGGCUCCUUCGGGAGUGUUAUAACCCUUAGCGGAAUGUGGUGGACGAGAUUGAGGUUUGCAACG